UUAACGUUGGCUUUCCACUCCCUUUUACUCAUCUUUAACCCCCUACUUUUUCUCACCCUAAAUUCACUUCAUCUUCAUCAUCAUCACAUGAUCACUCUCAACUUUGUCUAUCUUCUCUUGUCUCUGUCUCCCCGCCCCCCUUGAACGAAGGCGAGUCUCGUGUGGGGAUAUGGAUUAUAGAGAUAAGAGAAUCAGAGACACACACACAAAGCACUUUAAAAAAGAGUUUCUUUUGAAAUAUAGGUUUGAUCUGGAUGUUCUAAAGGGGUUUCUCUUUGAGGGGAAUGUUGUCUGGCUCGAGGAUGUUUCUGUGAAUCAAAUUUUAGUUUGUUCUUAUGGAUCUUGUUGUUGUUGUGCAAGGGAUUUGAGUUUGUGGCAGCGCCGUCGGACCAGGCUUCAUUCCCCCCAAUUACUACUCCUAUUUCGAACAUCCCAACAAAGGCUGUAUAGAUCAUGAGAAAAAGGUUUGAUUUUUAGCUUGAGUGAUCAUUUUGGGUGUUUUUCUUUGCCUGUUAUGGCAAGAAUUGGAGGUUUUAGAUCAUUGGGUGUUUUGUUUUUUUCAGAGCAAAAAGGGUUUUUAUUUUAGUUGCAGAUUGGUGUAAUGAUAAGGGGUUUGACCAAUUCUCUUUUCUAUCAUAUGGAAAAAAGGUUUCAUCAUUACUCUCUUUUUUUUCUGUGAGGUUAUGAUAUUGUUUUUUGUCAGUCCUAACGCUUCCUUUCUGGUUCAUCAUGAUGCUUCCUGUAUCAGAUCUGCCUCUUUCAGCUGUUGUUAGAUCUAACUUUGAGCUUUGGAAUUUUUUCCCUUCUUUUUCAUCUCUCUAGGGUUUCAAGAUGGAGAGCUUUGUUAGAUCUUCCUCAAAAUGAAUCCUUUUUGCACGAUGCUUCGCCUGGGUACAGGACCAAAGUUUCUAUAUACAGCCAGCCAGCCAGCCAUAGCUAAAAUGAGUAAUGGAGCUUUCACUCAAUGUAAAUGAACACCCAUGGCAUCUCAAUCUAAAAACCCUAGAACGUUGAAAACCAGGGUCAGGGUUUGAAUCGUCUUGCUGCUUCUUGCAAACAGGGUUGAGGUGCUUUGAGCAGCAAAGCGCAGGCAUUUUAAUUAGCAAAUGAGUGAUUAUCAUUUGAAAGAAAGGAGAUUCUCCCAAUGUUAGUGCUUUCUUUUGGUCAUAUUUUGGAAUUAGGGAGCAAAAAGCGAGGUGUGAAGAUCAGUUUACAUCAAAUUUUACAUAAUUUGGAAUUUGCUCUACUCAUGGAGGACGAGGAACAGAACACAUGAAGGAAGAGUUGAUUAGAAAGAUUGACAGGCUUUAGAUUAUAUGUCACGUUAUUUAUCCCACUUGUUUUCCUUCUCA